rnacentral:rRNA from 1 species
UACGAAGGGGGGCUAGCGUUGCUCGGAAUUACUGGGCGUAAAGGGCGCGUAGGCGGUUCUAUAAGUCAGGCGUGAAAUUCCUGGGCUUAACCUGGGGGGCUGCGCUUGAGACUGUGGGACUUGAGGUCAGAAGAGGGUCGUGGAAUUCCCCAGUGUAGAGGUGAAAUUCGUAGAUAUUGGGAAGAACACCGGUGGCGAAGGCGGCGACCUGGUCUGAUACUGACGCUGAGGCGCGACAGCGUGGGGGAGCAAACAGG